AAGGGAUGAGGGCUGCAGGCCUGGUGUGGAGGCUGGGACGGGAGCGGCCAGGACGUGUCAGACUGGGCUGCACUUCGGCCUCUGCUUGUUCAGGUCCUGCAGCCCCUGACCGUCCGAAGGUGGGCACGCGCUGUCCACAGGCACGUCCUGGCGGUGGGCAGGACCCCUGGCCUGGUCGCUGUCUGCUGGGGCUCUGGAUGGGUGUGGCGGGUGAGCUGGCACCCACCCAGGUCCACGGGGGCCAGACGGGCAGCUCCUGGGCUGUUGAAUUUAGGGGACUGUGAGCAACCCUCGCCUUCCUGUCAGGAGAAGGGGACCAGCUGAGGGACUAGACACAGGUGCAGGACCCAAAGCCUGAUUUCUGACCAGGUAGAUUGGCGCCUGCGGCUCGGGAAGGGACCAGCUGGACGACUGGCCCUGCCGCCUCCUGCCUCGGUCCUGGGCCAGAAUCAGCCCACUUGUCUGAAUCACCAUCUGUGCCCUUCAGGCAGAAACUACAGAAAACACCGACCUGCCCCCCGUGCCCACCCAGGACGCGAAGCUUUCAGCUCCAGACCUCACGGGGCAAGGACGGGGCCCACCUGGCCACACUCCCCUGCAGAGAUGGGAGCGCAGUGGGGAGGCAGGAGGGGAGCCAGGCUCUGUUCUGCCUGGGGAGUGGGUCCCCCCACAACCCUCGUGUCCCUUACAGGCGUGUGUUCACAACCAGACGCUGAUGGGCAGCUGGGGUGGGGGCGGCAUCACCACCCCCCGUACUAUUAUUUUCCCCAUUUCACAGAGUAGGAAGCUGAGGCUGGGGCUCCCUGUGGUCUGCGGUCACAGCCGUCCACUCCCUGCUUCCCACUCUCGCCUGCAUUGUGGCUCAGUGUCACCUCUGCCCCGAUAUCCUGGCGGAUCAGCAUUGUUCAGGAGAGGGAAACAUCUCUGUGUUUCAUUUCCUCUCCAUUGUAGGAGGACGAACGCCCUUGGCCAGCCUGCAGGACUAGGCCUCCCGCUCCCCUCCCUGUGAUUCUGGAUAUUAAAACCAUCACCGCCUGGGCUGGAAAUACGCCGAUGAGAACAUUUCCUUUAAUGAGCCCAGCAUCAGAGAGCAGCCCAGACCGCGGCUCUCUGUGCAGCCCUGGGUGACGGGGGCAGAGUGGGAGACCAGCCCUACCAUGCCCUGGGCCAGCACAGACUCCCCUUGCCCCGUCACCCAACCCCGCUUGGCGACCCAGGCAACAGUGCAGCCUGGCCCACACUGCAGGGUAGAGUUGGCUCUCUGGGUCUGAACGUCGAAUUCUCCACCGAUGCUGGGAAGUUCUGGGCACAGGACGUAACCUCCCCGGCGUCCACACCCUGCAGCCCUCCACCCUUCUUGCUUGCUGGCAGGGCCAGAUUUUAUUGGGUGUUCCCCAUCCCACUGCCAAUGACUUUGGGCAUGCCCCCUUCCCAACUUCAGGGGUAAAUCCUACACAGUGGAAACACUUCUGGUGGCCUAUGUUCUGAGCACUGAGUUCUGGCCACUAAGAUGGGAGUGGAGGCUACUGGGGGCUCCAGGGAAAUGUUUCCUUCCUCUCAAAAAGGCCCAGGGAAAGAUGAUCUCUUCUUCCACUAAACAUGACCACAUCUGCUGUGAUUUCCGGAGCAAUGGCAGCCACCCUGGGGCCAUGAGGAGGAUGGAUCUGAGGUCAGAGGAGAGAGGUGGGAAGAACCUGGGUUUUUAAUCCUCUUUCUAUGCCUCUGAAAUCUCCAUCUCUGGAGCCAGGCCCCCUCAGAACUUCCUGUUCCGUGAGUUAAAACUUAGUCCUUAUUGUUUACAACAUUUUGAGAUUUUUUUUUCUAUUUGUGGCCAAAGUAUUCUGAUGUUCUCAGGAUCCUCAUCUGUAAAAGGGGAUCAUAAACCACCUAAAAUGUCUCCUUCUCAAAUAAAAUAAAGCCCAGAACUUCCCAAAUUGGCAGUGGCAGGAGUCCCAUCUGUCUGUCUGUCACCUGUGCAUCUGUGCAUCUGUGUAUCCAUCAUUAUCACCCCCACCCCAGUCACUCGCUCACCUCUUGGUCCUCCUUUCCUGCUCUCCUGCCUUGCUUCCUCCUGCGCCCAGUGGUAACCCCAAGGUUCCUCCCUUUCCUGGAAAGUCAGCCGGGAAGACUGUUCCCGGAGAGGGACCUGUGAGGAUUUCCAGGGCCACCCGGCACCCACCCGCGUGGCUGCCAGCUUGGCUCCAUCAGAGGUAUUUGAGUCAUUUUGGCCUCUCCCCACAGUGGCCAGAAGUCUGGACUCUGAGGUGAGUAGGCCCCCUUGCUUUCUGGGGUCCCUGGUUGUCACUGGUAUGACCCCUGGAGUGCAGACUCCGAGGAGUAGUUUGGGGAGCAGGACGUUUAUUUGCGGAUGGCUUGGAGUCUGGACUGAGGGAGGGAAGUGUGGCUGAACGCAGAGCCCAGAUGAGAUGGGACCAUGUCCCAGACCGCGAACCUGUGAACACGACCUUAUGUGGAAACUGGGACUUUGCAGGUGUGACUGGGUUACCCAGGCGAUCCCUGGAUUCAAUGACAAGUGUCCUUAUAGGACAGAGGAGGGGAGACCCAGAGGGGAGGCCGUGUGAAGAGGGAGGCAGAGCCCUGUGACGCGGCCACAAGCCCAGGACGCCUGGAGCCCCCAGAGGCUGGAAGUGGCAGGAAGGAGCCACCUCCCAAGGGCAGAGCCCUGCCCGCACUUGACUUUGACCUGCAGCCUCCAGAGCCAUCAGAGAGUGGAUGCUGCUCAGAGAAGCCCCUCAUUUGGGGUGCUUUAUCACCGCAGCCCCGAGACAUUAAUCGAGGAAGGAGGCAGGGCUGCAUGGAGGGAUGUCUUGCAGCCGCCAGCCUUGGCCGGCCCAGGCCUGGAGCCGCAGAGUCCCUCGGAGCAUCCGAGUUGGGCUGGUGUGGAGGGGUGAUACCUCUGUCCUGAAGGGGUCCAGGCAGCGCAGUGUGGGGUCACUCUGUCGUCCCCUCAUCGCAGCUCUGUCUCUUGACAUCUUGAAAGCUCUGGGGUCUCCCAGUUAAUCUUCAAAAAUGAAAUCAUCCCAGGUAAUUCGCAGUGGUGCCCGGCAGCCCACUAGCUGAGCAGAUGCCAUGGUGGUAACGGGCCCUGUGGGCAGGGGUGGGGCCACGGCUGGCGGUGGAGACCCCGGGGGAGGGGGGGAGGGGCAGGAAGGCCUGGGCGUCACCAGCUCAGCCCUGAGCCACAGGCUGCGGGACUGGGCCCUCCUCCCUCAGUCCUCAGCUCUCUGUGAACCUGAUAUGACCUCGCACUAGAAGUGAUCACCUGGAGAAACUGCUCCUGUCCAAAGACCGAUCCCCAGGGGGCAGGGCUGUGCCUGAAGGAGCCCCGCAGCUUCCCAGGGUGGAGUCUAGCUCACUGCCCCUGGGUCACGGCCAGUAAGCCCGGCCCUCCUGACACCCACCCCCAGCGAUGCCCAUUUGACCGCAGGCUGCAGAGGCUGGCAUGUCCUGCCCAGGGACAAGGCUGCAUCAAUUGGCCCUGAAUUGAACAAGACAGAGAACUUGCCAGGCCUGCCAACCUUUUCACAUGGCCAGUAAUCUGACAACCCUGCCCCUCGGCCACCCAGAGCAGCAGUUAACGUGAUUAGCGGGAAUCAGGGGAGCGGUGAGCAGGCCCGGGGCAGCGGGAUCCUCACUAGGCCCUCGCUUUGCUGGGGUGGGUGGGCGGCCAGGGAUGGUCUCUGCCCGGCCUCCCUGCUUCUGCUUGGCUUGCCCAGGUCCAUCCCUGUCAUGGCAGACAGACGGAACUCCUCAACUCAAAGUGGAGUAUUUCACCCCCUUCUCAGCUUCCUCUGAAGUCCUGACCUCGAUGGGACCAUCGCCUGGGGAGACCCCAGCUGGUGGACGAUGGCCAGAAGUCACAGAAGCUUCAGAGAGUGUUCUGGACCCCACUGGCUGUGCUGUGGGAGGGGCAGCAAGGCAAGAGAGACCCCUGCUUGGCGACUCCCCACCCAGGGGACACCCUCACCCCCCGACCCUGCCUCCUCCUCCUUCUCCCUGCCGUCCCACCCACCUUCCAGACCUCCUGGUCCCACCUCCUGGGCAGCCUGGAAGCCCACCGACUUUCUGCCAUCCCUGGCUGGGCCCCCGUAGUCCUCUCCUGUGACCAGCGCAGUGGCGAAGCCCUGGUCUCCAGCCUCCCCACACCCCGUCCCCUGUCACUUCAGACAAAGCAAUCUUCCAGGAACACACGCCUGGCAGUGCCACCGCCCAGCAUAGCCACGCCCAGUGGUCCCCGAGGGCCAAGUGGGCAAGCACAGUCUUGAUGGGCUGUUGCAGCCUGGCUCCCGGCACAGCUCCCCCGGGGACAAAGCUCAGUCACACUGCGGUUCCUCCUCUGAAACGCCUCCUCCCCUCACACCCGCCAAACUCCUACUCAUCCUUCAGCACCCACCCUGAUCGUCCCAGGAGGGUGGCCCAACCUAGUGACCACCAUCGUGUCCCACUACAGGUGUGUGAGGCACUUUUCACAAGGCCUCUGGGGUCCCAGGGCCCCAGGACUGCCAGGGCCUCUCAGGCCCUGACACGCAGCCAUCCUGGUUGGGGACUUGUGGGGCUGGCAUGCCUGGGAAUGGGGCAGGCAGAGCAGGCACCACGCUGGCCAUGAUGAUCGCAGCUCCGGGCAGCCAGAAUUCUCUCCCACUGGUCCGACGUGAAUAAUGAGGCUGUAGCAGGUCAGAGACUGACUUCCCAUUUCUGCGAUUAAUCCACAGCCUUGGAACGGCCAGCUCCAGCUCCCCAGAGGGUCAGGCCCUCCUCCUCCUGCCCGUCCACCCAGGCCUGCAGGGCGGUGGGGGGGGGCUCACACUGGGCCUUUGGGUGCAGAGGGGAUGCCCCCUCCUGAGGAGGCGGAGGCCAGGGGACCAGCCAGAGGAGGUCAGUGGCCAUCCCGCCCCUCCUUGCUGUGUGACCCUGGGCAGACCACUCAGCCCCUCUGGGUCCACGUGGCUUCCUCUGGAUAGAAGCUAAAACCUGCCCUCCUCCCAGGCCGGGUGACACACUUCACGGGUAACCAGGCCGUAUCUUCCUAAAGUUCUCCGUCAUCUUGAUUCUGACGCGAGUCGGCUGUGGGGCUCCCCAUCCUCGCCCCUCCUGGGGGCCUAGCCUAGCCUCCUUGCCUCUGAGUCUCUAAAAUGAGAACAAACCAGGGUGCCGUUUGCUUCCUCAUCUGCAGAGUCAGAGCAGGGGAGCCGGCGCACAGAGGGCCUGCGGGGCCACACGAGUCCUCAUCCGCUUCCCUUGGGUCCACAUUCCGGGUUCUUCUGAUCUCACUCAGGCCAGGGGUGGGGGUGCGGCCGGGUGUUGAGUCCCCGGUCUCUCUCUGGUGGGUCUGCCUUUGGGCUGACAGGAGGGCGUGCAGGUGGUCCAGUGGGGACAGAUGUGCCCCUGCAGAGGUGGUCUGAUACCCGCCGAGCCACCUCCAUCACAGCCACCUUGGAGGCAGGAGGGUGAGGAGUGGUCCAGUGUGGCUGGGCGAUUGUGGGAGGAACAGGAGGCAGAGAGGUGAGCAGACCGACUAUGGAAAUGAGCCAGAGCAGCAGCGCUGGCGCCUCCUUUCUCUGUGCUGAUAAAGUCAUUUCAACCGACACAGGCUGUGUCAGUGUCCUGGGCCACAUCACAGGGACCACACACAGGUAAUCCCUUCUCUCCAGGUCUGGAUGCAGAAGGUCCAGAUCACGGUGUGGGCAGAGCCGCCUCCCUCUCGGGCUCUGGAGUGGGGGCACAGAGUGGGGGUCCACAGAUCAAUGCAGGAGGACACUGCCCGUCAGCCGGCUUCCCCAGAGCAAGAAGUAAACAUCUCUCCUGCCCUGGUCGAGACGGUAUGUGUUUUGGAGUCUUUCUGUUACCACAGCCAAACCUACUUGAACUAACAGGUCAGGCGUUUUACUCUCAAUGUAAAAUGAGGAACCUGAGACCCAGCAAAGAAGCGAAUUGACUAGGCAGUGAUGCCUCGGAUCUGACCCCAGAGCACAGGCAACAAAAGCAAAACUCGACAGGUGGGAUUACAUCAAACUAAAAGGCUUCUGCACAGCAAAGGAGCAUCAGAAUGAGAAAGCAGCCUGUGGAACGGGAGAAAACAUUUGCAAACCACACAUGUGAUAAGGGAUUAAGAUCCAGCAUCUAUAAGGAACGUGCACAGCUCAGUGGCAAAGCAGCAACAGCAAAGCCAGCGGCCCAAUUAAAUGAGCCAAGGACCUGAGCUGGCGUGUCUCCAGAGAAGACAUGCGGACGGCCGGCUGGUGCACUGGAAGGUGCCGACGUCACUAACCAUCAAGCAAGUGCAAACCAAGACCACAGUGAGGCGCCACCUCGCUCACGCCAGUUAGAAUGGCUGUUGUCGAGACACCGGGAGAGGGGAGAGAGGGCAAACCCCGGGGAGGACGCGGGACGGCCGGAACCCUCAUCUGCUGCUGGUGGGAACAUAAACUGGUGCAGCCACUGUGGAAACAGGACGGGGUUUCAGCAAAGUAAAUACAGAGCCGCUGUAAGACCCAGCAAGCCCCUUUCUGGGUGUGCCCCCGAAGGAAGUGAAGGCAGCAUCUCUUCACUCAGGGAUGCUCUGCCACCCACGGUCACUGCAUUCGCACUGUAGCCAAGACAGAGAAGCAACUAGAGUGUCCAUCCACAGGCGAGCAAUAAAGAAAGCGUGGCGUGCAGAGAGGGCAGAGUAUUAUUCAGCCUUAAAAAAGAAAGAAACUCCGCUUUGGCAACCCCACAGAUGGACCUUGAGGAGACCGUGCUAGUGAAACAAACCAGGCACAGAAAGACAAAUGCUGUGUGACUGCACGUCCACGUGGAAUCUGAAAAUAGUCAGACUCAGGGAAGCAGAGAGAAUGGCGGUUGUCAAGGGUGUGGGGAGGGGAAAAGUGGGGGCGUUGAUUAAAGGAAGCAACGCGGAGACCUCAUGCAGAGAAAAGGAACUGUAGAAACACAGUUACUGCACGGUUAGCAACACUAUGUUGUACGGUUGAAAUUUGCUAAAGGGUAGAUCUUGAUUGUUCUCACCACAGAAAAGGGAAGAAGAAGGUAACUCUGCGCGGUUGUGAACGUGCCAGUCAACUUGAUCGUGGUGAUUAUCACACGGCGUAUGUGUACAUCAGAGCACCAAGUCGCACACCCUAAGUACACGUGAUUUUUCUGCCAUUUACACCUCAGUAAACCUGGAAAAUGUUUAAUAAUUUUUAAAGAAGUUUCAGUCGUGCCAGAUGAGUAAGUUCCAGAGGUCCGCUGACAGCACGGAGCCUGCGGCAGACAGCGGGGCGCUGUGCUUCAGAGUGUGUCAGCCGGGUCGGUCUCGUGUUAAGAGUUCUUACUACAUAAAACCAAACCAAAACAAAAACAGAAAAUCCCCAGAGGGCCAGGAGGCACUCUGCUUAUUCCAUGAACGCGGUGAUGGUAGCACCGGCGUCUGCGCGCACCCACACUCAUCAAGUCGCGCACAGUCACUACGUGCCGCCGUGCACCAGUUUUACCCCAGUGACGCUGCUUUAGGGACCUGACCACGUCCACGUCCACGUCCCCAUCCACGGCCCGCGGCCCCGGAGCCGGAGCCGGGCCCAGCCUGGGUCUGCCUGUCUCCACGGCCGCUCGGAGGGACCUGCGCCAGGUGCUGGGCAGGGAGGACGGGGCCCACCCGCCCUCCAGGAGCCCCCGGCUCUCUCUCAUUUCCGACGUCCACAUACGUGCGCCCUGACUGUGGCCCUGGUGAAGG